rnacentral:lncRNA from 10 species
AUUAUAAGGCAGUUCAUAGAUGCUGCUGCUGCUGCUGCUAGCAUUUCAUCUGCUGAGAAUCACACUCAGUAGCAACAGCCGUCCAAGAUACAGCCCUGCGGGGCUUUGAGUGUUAACGUUGGGUGCAUAGUGAUGAGGCUUUUUUAAAGCCUUGAAACGGGGCCAACUGGUAAUACCUAAGGAACAGUCUCACACUGUCGCCCAGGCUGGAGUGCAAUGGCACAAUCUCGGCUCACUACAACCUCUGCCUCCCAGGUUCAAGCGAUUCUCCUGCCUCAGCCUCCCAUCUUCAAAUAUUUUUGUACCCUUAUCUUAUUUUUUCAGGAACUCCAGUUUCACAAAUAUUAGCCCAAGUGAAAUUGGCCCACAGAUCACUGAUCCUCUGUUCAUUAAAAAAAAAAUAAAAGUCUCUGUGAUGGUUGAUUUUGGGUAUCAACUUGCCUGGAUUAAGGGACACUUAGGUACCUGGGAAAGCAUUGUUUAUUCUCAGUGCUUCAGUGGGCACUGAGCACAUCCCUUUUCUGCUGAAAGGGAAACCCAGAUGGCUUGCCAUUUGAUUGGAAUGAUUGGGCUCCCCCAGGAAUGUUUGAGAGGGUGUUUCCAGAUGACAUUGGCAUAUGAGUUGGUGGACUGAGUGGGGAAGAUCUAGCUUCAAUGUGGAUGGACAUCAUCCAAUCAGCUGGGGGCCUGAAUUGAACAAAAGGAUGGAGUAAGAGUGAAUUUUUGUUCUCUCUUAUGGAGUGGGGAUGUGCCUUUGGACAUCAUAACUCUAGAUUCUCUGGCUAUUGGACGAUAGGACUUGUAUGACAGCCCCCUGGGCUCUCAGGCCUUCAGCCUCAGUCUCAGAGUUCUCACCAUUAGCCUCCUUGGUUCUGAGGCCUUUGGACUUGGACUGAGUCAUACUAUGGUUUCCUUGCUUCUCCAGCUUGCAGACAGGCUGUUGUGGGACUUCUCAACCUCAAUCAAGUGAGCCAAUUCUCAUAAUCAGUCCUUUCUCAUGUAUCUAUAUAUAUAUGUAUUCUAUCAGUUCUGUCUGGGUAACCAUGACUAAAUCAGUUUCCUUUCUCUCUUUGCUUCAUUUUGGACAGCUUCUAUGUCUAUGUCUCCAAGGUCACUAAUCUCUUCUACAAUGUCUAAUCUGUCAAUAAUACCAUUAAGC